AUUGAACGCUGGCGGCAUGCCUUACACAUGCAAGUCGAACGGCAGCACGGGUGCUUGCACCUGGUGGCGAGUGGCGAACGGGGAGUAAUAACUCGGAACAUGUUCUGUAGUUGGGGAUAGCCCGGCCAAAGCCGGGUUAAUACCGCAUACCAUCCACGGGUGAAAGCGGGGGACCUUCGGGCCUCCCGCUAUGGGGUUGGCCGAUGGCUGAUUAGCUAGUUGGUGGGGUAAAGGCCUACCAAGGCGACGAUCAGUAGCUGGUCUGAGAGGACGACCAGCCACACUGGGACUGAGACACGGCCCAGACUCCUACGGGAGGCAGCAGUGGGGAAUUUUGGACAAUGGGCGAAAGCCUGAUCCAGCAAUGCCGCGUGUGUGAAGAAGGCCUUCGGGUUGUAAAGCACUUUUGUCCGGAAAGAAAUCCUUGGCUCUAAUACAGUCGGGGGAUGACGGUACCGGAAGAAUAAGCACCGGCUAACUACGUG
rnacentral:rRNA from 1 species